GAGGAAUUUUGCGCAAUGGGGGCAACCCUGACGCAGCAACGCCGCGUGAGUGAUGAAGGCCUUUGGGUCGUAAAACUCUGUCAGCAGGAAAGAAGUUAUAGAGGGUUAAUACCCCUUUAUAUUGACGGUACCUGCAAAGGAAGCACCGGCUAACUCCGUGCCAGCAGCCGCGGUAACACGGAGGGUGCAAGCGUUAUUCGGAAUUAUUGGGCGUAAAGGGCGCGUAGGCGGCCGAUCAGGUCAGGUGUGAAAGCCCGGGGCUUAACCCCGGAAGUGCAUUUGAAACCGGUUGGCUUGAGUAUGGGAGAGGAGAGCGGAAUUCCUGGUGUAGAGGUGAAAUUCGUAGAUAUCAGGAGGAACACCGGUGGCGAAGGCGGCUCUCUGGACCAAUACUGACGCUGAGGCGCGAAGGCGUGGGUAGCAAAC
rnacentral:rRNA from 1 species